GGAUGUGAGGGUGAUCUGGCUGUGACACUGAUCGCCAGUGUUGAUUUGGCUGGUCUGGCUGGGUAGGCAUCGUCCUCUUCCUCCCUCACCGCUCCAUGUGUGUCCCUCUGGAAGCUACACGCUCAGUGGAAGAGGACGACCAGCCCCAAUAGAGGAGGACUGUUUCCUAUAUGGUGUAACUGUGCUCCCCUGCUAGAACCUCCAAGAUUUAAAUAACUGGAAAAAAAAAAAAAGAUUUAAAUAACUGCUCAAGAACACAAUGAAGAGGACCGGGGAUUUAGCUCAGUGGUU
rnacentral:snRNA from 1 species